AUACGUAGGGUGCAAGCGUUAAUCGGAAUUACUGGGCGUAAAGCGUGCGCAGGCGGUUUUGUAAGACAGAGGUGAAAUCCCCGGGCUCAACCCUGGAACUGCCUUUGUGACUGCAAGGCUAGAGUACGGCAGAGGGGGAUGGAAUUCCGCGUGUAGCAGUGAAAUGCGUAGAUAUGCGGAGGAACACCGAUGGCGAAGGCAAUCCCCUGGGCCUGUACUGACGCUCAUGCACGAAAGCGUGGGGAGCAAACAGGAUUAGAUACCCUGGUCGUCCACGCCCCAAACGAUGUCAACUGGUUGCUGGGUCUCCAUUGACCCAGCAACGAAGCUAACGCGUGAAGUUGACCGCCUGGCGAGUACGGCCGCAAGGUUGAAACUCAAAUGAAUUGACGGGC
rnacentral:rRNA from 1 species